UGAUGCUUUUGUUUCUCAGCUCUUAAGGGGAAAGGUUUGAAUUAUAAGGCAAGCUUGCCUGAUCGAAACCUAGUGCAAAGAAUGGGAAAAACCCGGUUGCUUUCAAAAAACAGAUGAAUCCCUAGGAAGCUGGGAUGUGGUGUGAAGGCUCCACAUAGUCGAUUUGGGAUCUAGCUGUGUAGACCUGGGUGGACAGAGACCGGGACAGCGCCAGAAGGCUGAUCAGUUUGUCCGCACAGGGGCCCAGGCUGAGACAGCAGCUGCAAUCCGGAGGUGCUGUUUACUGGACUCUGAGCUCAGCUCGCACAGGGCUGUCUCAGCACCUGACAGUUUCCUCCAGUAAGCGCUCCAAGCCAGAUGUCCACAGGGUGCUCCCUUUUCUAGUUUGCGUAAAGAUACCAAGUGAGUGCAUUGUGGGCAGAAAAGAAAGGAAAGGCAAAAAGUGUCCCCAAACGAAUGACAGACCCAGGUGCUAAGGCUUGCCUACCCGGUCUAAAAUGUUUCACCUGCCAUUCCUUGGGGAUUUGACAUCCAAAUACCAAAGUAGGUUUAGCUGGUAGCAGGUGAAACAAGCAAAGGAUGUUUACUUAGUGAGGGAACAAUGUUGCUGUGGCCAAACAAAGCGUUGUGAAAGCCGAGGUUCUCAACCUGUGGGUCUUGACUCCUUUUGGGAGGGGUGUCAAAAGACCCUUUCAUGGGGGUCACCUAAGACCGUUGGAAAACACAGAUAUUUACAACUCCUAAUGGUAGGAAAAUGACCGUUAUGAAGUAGCAAUGAAACUAAUUUUAUGGUUGGGGGUCACCACAGCAUGAGGAGCUGGAUUAAAGGGUCGCAGCGUUCGGAAGGCUGAGCACCACUGUCCUCAUAUAAGGGAGGCAGAGAAGGGGAGGUGGGCUCGGCCUGGAACUGGACCUAGUCAACUGCACAGGUUCACGCUGAGAACAAGUCUGCCUGAGAGCCCCGAGGGCACCAGAGGCCCCACACACUUCUGUCGGCUGCUGGUGCCUCAUCCCCCUCCCUCCCCACGUCAGCGUUCAGAUUAAUCUUAACCCCAAACUUGGGAAAGACAAAGGAUGACUACUAAAGAAAUCACCCCACGCCGCCGAAGAUGGAAAGAGCCUGCAUUUUCAUUCCGUGUGUGGAGUGAUGGAUUCCCUCUCUCACCGCCUCCCCUCCGCCUUCAUCUCGGCAGUGGGAAAUAACCUGACAGAGUGCCGCCGCCGCCACUCAAAGUUCGUGGAGACUCUGGAAAAUUCCACUUCUGCAGUUGGAUCUGAGUCAGUGUGUGUGUGUGUGUGUGUGUGUGUGUGUGUGUGUGUGUGUGUGUGUGUGUGUGUGUGUGAGAAAGAGAGAGAGAGAGAGAGAGAGAGAGAGAGAGAGAGAGAGAGAGAGAGCACAAGCCUGAACGGGAGCCACAAAGCACUGGCCAGCUGCCAUGGAGACAGCUUCUGUGAAGAGAGUUGGGAAUGACUGAAGAAUGAGCCAGCAUCGAGGAUACAGGAUGCAUUUGUCAAAGUGAGAGAGGCGUGUACGAUCACUUGGGCUGGAGAUCGAACUCAGGGCUUCAUGAGUGCUGGGCAAGUGUUCCACCACUGACCUGCACACUUAACCUUCCACAGUAAUUCACAGAAAGAUUUGUUCUCUACCAAAUUCAUGUUUAUUAUGUAUAUGUUAAAAAAACUCCUUUGUCUUCAUUUGCAUUGAAUGUGGGGGCAAUGUAAAAGACAAUAUUACCUCCACUGAAGUCAAGUGUGGGAAAGAGGCUAUUUGGAAAAUGUGUACAUCUAUUACUGACUAUAUUUCACAUAAUGAAUGGUGGACUCUGGGACCCAAGUCUGGAAACUUUAAAUCCCUUUCUAUGCCUCAGUUUCUCUUCCAGAAAGCUAGGUCUCAUAUUAUCCUUUAGACAGGAGGUGUUAAGUAGAAUUGUGUGGGAAGUGUUCACCCGAUCAUGGGUGGGCAGCAGGUGACAUCUCAAAUGUUAACCUCGUGGGUGAAAAGCUUAAGAUCAUGACCUUGUCUCCAGCCUCUCUCCUGACUGCUGAGGGAAGGUAGGAGAAAGAGAGAGAGUUGGCAUCUUGCCUCUAGAAGAAUUUUGAUUAAGGAUAAACAUAUUCCAAGAUGCCAUGAAGUUGAAGUCACAUGAAUGCUAAGUGAUUUCUUGGCAUCAAAAAAAUCAAUCUCUUUUUUGUCAGUCCUAAAGAAAUAAACACUUUCCUCUUCUUCGAUACCAGAAAUAGCCAGAGAGGCUUCAGCUAUUACAGCAAAAGCUUUUAAAAUAAUUACUUCUAGAAUACGAUAAUAUUAAUGAUUAGCUUUGUGUAAAAAUUGAAAAGAUAAGUAGUUAAAUACUGGGAAUAAUAAACCUGGAAGUGUCACUGUGUGAUAAGUUUGCCCUUUAAAAGUAUCAUUUUUCAGUUUUUUUUUCUCACGGUGAAUUGUUCAGGAAAAGUUAAAUUCUUCACUAAAUAAUCCGUUUUCUAUGAUUAAGGUGACUUCUUGAAAUGAUGUCUGAUUUUCAUAACCUACUGUCAGAACAGUUGAGAUCAAGAUGUUUAAAGAGUCCUUUUGAGAUUGGUUGGUUGAGAUGUGCUGCAUGUGCUGGGCACUGUGUAUACACAGUCUUAUUAACUGAUGCACAAUUAGCUCUGUGGGGUGGUUAUGCCACUCUGUUUUAGAGAUGAAGAAACUGAGGCUUAAAGAGGUUAAACUGGGGCUGGGGAGAUGGCUCAGUGAGUACCUGCUGCUCCAAUAUGAGGACCUGAGUUUGAUCCCCAGAGCCCAUGGGAAACAAUGGGUGUGGAGACAGGAGUCCAUAACUAGUUCUGGGGAGGUGGAGACAGGAAGAUUCCUGGAGCUCGUUGGCCAGCCAGGCCAGCCUAAUCAGUGACUUCCGGGUUCAGUGAAAUAGCCUGUCUCAAAAAAACAAAACACCAACGUUGACCAGUGUGCAUGCGUGCAUACACAUGUGAGUGGACACACACACACACAUGCACUCAUUCACAAGUGCAGUUUAAGUUAUUGGUCAAUAAAAUUCAAUACAAAAGUAAAAAAACCUGAGAUUCAAGGUCCCUUUGCCUAUUUAGGAGCCCAAGUUUCUGGCAAGUUGUCCCACGGACCAGAAGUGUGUUAUAAUGAGACUAAUUACUGUAGGGGUCAGGAUUUAAUCACCAGUCAAAAAGCCCUGGAUCAUCAGAGUCUGCCUGUCCCUACUCCAAGGAGUGGCCGGUGAAAGGCACUUUGUCCUCUGUGGUUCAGUGAGGGCAAACUCCUAGGCUUCGGAGUGUCUUUCAGUUCCCUGGGCUGGACACGCUCAUCUCCACCCUGCUGCUUUCUUGGCUGGCCUCUGUAAGAGCCUCCUUGGGCUUGCAUAAGACUCGGCCUUACAAUGAUUAACACCGACCAAGGUCCCUGGCAAUGGCAUGUUCGAAGCUGAAAAGCAGAAUGACGUCUUGACUGGAAAAUGGAGUCUCUAAGGAGUGUGACAACGAUCUUCUCACGACACCCACCCUCCUCCACAGCCCCUCCUGAGUGGUAAGCCCCAGAGCUCCAAGCCACCUGAGUGAGCCAGUCUCAAGGAAGAGGGACCAGUGAUGCCACAUCCACAGGGCAGCCUAGGGAUGGGCAAUCAGGCUCCACCACCCAGAGAGCUGCAUCCCUGAACUUCUGAUGUGCUUAUUGCCUGCAAAGCCCCAGGAGAUUCCUUCUCUUUGAACAAAUAAUUCAGGAUUGCUGCCAUCAAUAGGGCUCUGCCCGCUGCUUGCUUCAGCCUGACUGUGUGUAUGUGUGUGUCUGUAAUCACCUAGACAGGGAUUAGCAAGAAACUAUUUAAGAAUUCAUUUGAUGGUUAAUGAUGGAAAAUCCCAGGAUUUAAAAGGAGCAGAGUCGGGCUGGGGGAUGGGGAGAGUCUGACUGGUUUUCCAGAGAGAUGUAAAAUCCUUCACCUUCCCUAUAAUUACGGUCUCAGCCUUACUGGGGGGCAGGGAGAGAAGUCGACGCUCUGAGUGCAGGAAGGUAAUGUCACCUCGCUGAUCCCUUGGUGACACCGGGCAUUGUUUAAGCAAAGAAAUCUGAUGACAAAUAGCCAAUUUCCCUUCCCCCUUCCCAAGCCUGUCUCAGGCUUUUCCAUCCUCGGCACUUUGCAGACCUCAACAAGAAAGGCUGCGGCCAGCCCGGCAGUGGAGAUGAGUUCAGGAACGGGGACACCGCAGAUGAGAGGGGCUUCCAGGUUGUCUUCCAGAUUUCCCCUCUCGUGAAUCCAGAUGGUCAUAGAGUGUCUUCCCAACAAGCUCCCUUACCACUCCUUUUCAUUUGUCCACACUCCCUUUCUCUGUUUUUCUUCUGAUUCCUCUCAAAAGCCUGGCAGCUGUCUCCUCAUGGCCAAGGCACUUGCCAGUGGGUUAUGCUUUCUUCUUUCAGCAUGGACCCUGGCUGCUUCUACCAACCAUCUUCCUAAGGCCUCUGUCAAGGCCAGCCGGAGGAGGAAGGGGGUAGCAUCUUGCUCUGAAGGUUCUGGCGCAGUCUAACAAUCAGCACAUGUUUUUGAGACCUACAUGAGGAUAUGGGUGUGUUGGGGAGGGAUCAAGUGUUUGGCCUAUCCCAGGGGAUAUUAGUCACCCAAAUUAUGUCUCAGGACUGAAAAAAAUGUUAGACAAGUUCAUACACGGGGAGUAGCCGUCAGACUGGCCACUCCUUGUUGAACCUUGAGGUUUGGAAUUCUGAUUUGCCUUCUUUUACUUCCCUGAAUUGAAUAAAGCCUUCAAGAAGCGUGCUGGGAACUUUUGGGAAUACAAUUUCCUUAGUGAGGAAGCAUAACAAUGACAUACAUAUACAUUGUAUGUAAAUGUCACCAUGGAAUCCAUUAUUUUGUACGACAAUUUAAACAAACUAAUAAAAAGUAAGAUUGAUUUUAAAAAGAAAAGAGAGAAUGGAGAGUACAGUAGGUAGGCACGGUUGAAGCAGGUGUGAACCCACCCCUCCCUCGCAUCAUCUCCCCACCAUCUGAAGGUGGACCGCUGAGCGGGUCCCUAUGCUCAGGACAGACUGAAAAACUGCAGGGGAAAGAAAACAAAAUCAAGGAGACCGAAGGAGUUGGUAGCGGGAUGGGGUGGGGUGGGGAGACACACUCCAGGAUGAACCCCAGUUUUUGAACAGUCCUAUCUGUUAGUGGAACAAGUCAUUGCACUGGUUAGAGUCUGCAGGGUAAGUCAGAGGCACCCGACCGUCCAGGAAAGGCUGGGGUUGCUAGAUCAUCACCACGUUCCAGAAGUCAAGGGAGGACCUCCUUGAAUGCUCAAGAGGCAGAAACAGGGGGAUCCCUGGAGUUCUCUGGCUAACCAGUCUAGCUGAAUCCUGAGCUCCACCGACAGAUGUGUUUGGGGAAAAAAAAAAAAAGGACAAAGUGAUCCGAGGAAGAUACUGCCUUGACCUCUAGCCUACACACACACAUGCACACACCCACGCUCUCUAACACACACACACACACACACACUAGCAAAACUACCAAGAGAGCAAUUUUUAAAUGUUCCAACACAUACAAAGAAAAUGCUAAUCACUUCAAAAUAUAAACCUAUGUCCAAACAUCACAUCGCACCCGACAAAUAUGUACAAUUAUUUUCUGUGAAUUAAACCUCAUAUGAAAAAUGUCUGGAAGGUUUCCAUGACGUUUCACAUCUUAAAUCAGUAAGGAACAUGAAACAAAGUAUAAGGACACAUGUAUGAAGGAAAAUGCCAUAGUGACACUCCUUACUGUGGGUGCUAACUUUAAAUAUUGAUUUAAAAAUAAAAUGAGGGCCGGGCGGUGGUGGCGCACGCCUUUAAUCCCAGCACUCGGGAGGCAGAGCCAGGCGGAUCUCUGUGAGUUCGAGGCCAGCCUGGUCUCCAAAGCGAGUUCCAGGAAAGGCGCAAAGCUACACAGAGAAACCCUGUCUCGAAAAACCA